rnacentral:rRNA from 1 species
GGGGAAUUUUGGACAAUGGGCGAAAGCCUGAUCCAGCAAUGCCGCGUGUGUGAAGAAGGCCUUCGGGUUGUAAAGCACUUUUGUCCGGAAAGAAAUCCUUGGCUCUAAUACAGUCGGGGGAUGACGGUACCGGAAGAAUAAGCACCGGCUAACUACGUGCCAGCAGCCGCGGUAAUACGUAGGGUGCAAGCGUUAAUCGGAAUUACUGGGCGUAAAGCGUGCGCAGGCGGUUUGCUAAGACCGAUGUGAAAUCCCCGGGCUCAACCUGGGAACUGCAUUGGUGACUGGCAGGCUAGAGUAUGGCAGAGGGGGGUAGAAUUCCACGUGUAGCAGUGAAAUGCGUAGAGAUGUGGAGGAAUACCGAUGGCGAAGGCAGCCCCCUGGGCCAAUACUGACGCUCAUGCACGAAAGCGUGGGGAGCAAACAGGAUUAGAUACCCUGGUAGUCCACGCCCUAAACGAUGUCAACUAGUUGUUGGGGAUUCAUUUCCUUAGUAACGUAGCUAACGCGUGAAGUUGACCGCCUGGGGAGUACGGUCGCAAGAUUAAAACUCAAAGGAAUUGACGGGGACCCGCACAAGCGGUGGAUGAUGUGGAUUAAUUCGAUGCAACGCGAAAAACCUUACCUACCCUUGACAUGGUCGGAAUCCCGCUGAGAGGUGGGAGUGCUCGAAAGAGAACCGGCGCACAGGUGCUGCAUGGCUGUCGUCAGCUCGUGUCGUGAGAUGUUGGGUUAAGUCCCGCAACGAGCGCAACCCUUGUCCUUAGUUGCUACGCAAGAGCACUCUAAGGAGACUGCCGGUGACAAACCGGAGGAAGGUGGGGAUGACGUCAAGUCCUCAUGGCCCUUAUGGGUAGGGCUUCACACGUCAUACAAUGGUCGGAACAGAGGGUUGCCAACCCGCGAGGGGGAGCUAAUCCCAGAAAACCGAUCGUAGUCCGGAUUGCACUCUGCAACUCGAGUGCAUGAAGCUGGAAUCGCUAGUAAUCGCGGAUCAGCAUGCCGCGGUGA